UAUUAGAUCCAUGUAUAAUGUAACUUAUGCUAUUGUUUCUUCUGGCUACCCACUUAUUAAUAUUAAGUAACUUUAUUUUUAAAAAUAAUAAUAAUAUCAUAAUCGUCCAUAACAUUUAGGACACAUCUAAAUAUAUAUUGUUGUCUUCAUUGAAUAAUAAUAACUAGGUAAUAAUCCGCGCCAUGCGCGGAAUGAAUGGACAAAAAAAAUUAUAACUUUUAAUCUAUUGAUAUUGGAAGUGAAUCUAUAUGAGUAAGUAAAUACUUAUAUAAAAUUAGUUAUUCUUCUCACGUAAAAAUGAAACAUUGGCAAAAGAAUUUGCUUUCAUAGUAUAAAUUAUGAAUAUAAGAUAAAACGAACCAUAGCCAAUAAAUUAAUAAAAUAUGAAAAAAAACAAAUUGUAAGGAAAAUAAAUAAAUAAAAAACUAAAAAAACCACAACUCCUAUGAAAAGUGUCUUUAGAAUUCUUUUUUUCAAUUCUAUUAAGAAAUAUGUAAUGAAGGUUUGGAAAGAAGAUUGUAAUUAUGUGCUCAAAUACCACCUAUACACGAUAAGGAGGGAUUAGAGUUCAAAUCAUCAAAUCAUAUCUGAUUAAUUAUAUAAAAUAAUCACGAAACAAUUUACCAAAAUUUGUGCUCCAAAUUUCCUUAACACACCAUAUACCCUAUUGAUCGCACAAUUUUCUGUAAAUAAAAAGAUUGCGUCCUUCAACUUACCUUAUAUAGAGCCACAGCUCACGCAAAUUCAGCAAUGGAAUAGAUCAAUAAUUUAAAUUACUUAUAGUUAUUGUAUUGUCAAAAUUGAAUCGAGCACAACUAUUUUAACAACAAAUUUGCGUGAUCCGUGUCUCUAUUUAAGACACUUUAUUAAUGAUUUUCUAUUUGUUGCAAAGAAAACAGAUAUAGUAUAAUCUCAUCAAAUUUUUAUAAGAGUUUAUUUACAGCUUAACCG
rnacentral:lncRNA from 1 species